rnacentral:rRNA from 1 species
UACAGAGGCCACGAGCGUUAGGCGGAAUCACUGGGCUUAAAGCGUGUGUAGGUGGAUCGGUAAGUACCUUGUGAAAUCCCACGACUCAAUCGUGGAACUGCUUGGUAUACUGCCAGUCUUGAGGCACUCAGGGGCGAGCGGAACAGAUGGUGGAGCGGUGAAAUGCGUAGAUAUCAUCUGGAACGCCAAUGGUGAAGACAGCUCGCUGGGGGUGUUCUGACACUGGAGACACGGAAAGCCAGGGGAGCAAACGGG